CCAGGUCUGGUCACAAGAAAGCAGAGCGGUUGAAGGUGUGAGGGCCUUGGCAGAAAGGCUGUGUGUGGCAGAGUUUGGUCUGUCGCCUGCCGCCUUGACCACAGUCCAGCGCACUGGAGAACCUGGAGAAAGAACUUGAAUUGUCUGUCUCUUGCGAGGCUCCCUCAAGCUGCAUACUGACCUGCAUACCCACAACCCAGUGACGACCUCCCACUGUUCCAGGUCUCCUGCUUUCCACACAGUGACGCCACCCCCACCCCCACCCCACCUGUCACAGCAAUGCUUUAACCCAUCGACACAUCCUAUGAGAGGACCUGUAAUUGCCAAUAGGUCAGCCGUAAGCAGCAGAAUCGGUGACUCUUUCCACGCCUGUAACUGACUGGUAGGAGGACCUGACUUCUUGUGUGUUCCUAGUCCUACAGAGACAGAUGCCGUGAGUUCAGGAUUGCCAUGGCCCUGUCAUAUCUGGAUUGUUUUGUUCUUGAUAUAAGUGCUGCUACCUCUGAGCCAGCAUUGUGUAUCGCAUGCGUGCCUGGCGCCAAUGGAGGACAGAGGCAUUGGAUCCCGGAAAGCUGGAGUUAUAGAUGCUGUGAGACACCUGCUGUAGGUUCUGCGACCUUCCCAGAUGUUCUGCAGGAGCAGCAGGUCCCUGACUGCUGAGCCAUCUCUUCAUCUUGGUGUUUUACACACACACACUUUAACGUUAUAACCUCAACACUGACGUAAAUAACUCAUAAAAUUAAAAGGUUUUCCUUAACUUGUCUAAAAAGUUAUCAGAAAAUAAAGUAACUUUCUCAUUAUGUAUCUGGAGCACUGGAACUUGACUUUUUUAUUAUAAAAAUAAAUUCUGGGUCUGGAUCAAUGUCUCGGUA